CACCGACGUGCUCUCCAUCCGCCACCACGAGCCGGCACUGAUGGCUCUUCCCUUGAUCCGCCAGGCGUAUUUGGAGCAGACGUCGGUGGCGGUGGUGACUGAUGAUGGCAAGCUGAUCGGGGAGAUUUCCCCGUCGACGCUUGUUGGCUGUGAUGUGACGGUGGCGGCAGCGUUUGCUGCACUGAACGCCGGUGAGCUGAUGGCUUACAUGGAUUGCAAUGGGGCUCCGCCUGAGGGAGCGGUUAGAGCUAUUAAGGCAAUGCUGAAG
rnacentral:misc_RNA from 1 species